CACACACAAGCCUGCAUUGAAAAUGGCCUAUAUAAUGACCAUAAUAGCCAGGCAUGUGAGAGGACCAGCAUCAGGUGAACUCAGAAAUAGUGUUUUGUAUAUCUGGCUACAUCGUGGUGUCAGGCGCAGUGAGCCAAUCAAGAUACAGGAAACCUAUCAACGAUACUACAUCAUGCUGACCUUUGACACCGCCCACAAAAUGGCAAUAUGGCCACACCCUUAAGUGGAACUUAAUAACCGCGCCCUAUUUAAGGAGGCAGAGGGAGAGCAGAGAGAGCGCUUCCCCGGAUGAGACUGCAGUGUGUGUGUGUUUGUCUCUGUCUCCUGUUUGAAAUUGUCUACUGAAAAGUGUGGCAAUAAAGCCUGAA